rnacentral:rRNA from 1 species
AUGCUGCCUUGGAUCUUCAGCCGCAAGGGCGCCUCGGGCUUCUCCUGGGCGUCCACCGCCGACCACGUCACCGCCGGCAUCUCCGCCGCAGGGCUCACCGCCAUAGUCACCGGGGCGUCGAGCGGGAUCGGCGCGGAGACGGCGCGGGUGCUGGCAGCGCGCGGGGCCCACGUCGUCAUGGCCGCCAGGAACCUCGCCGCCGCGGAGACCGUGCGCCAGGCCGUCCUCGCCGACACACCCGGCGCCAGCCUCGAGCUGAUGGAGCUGGACCUCUCCUCCCUGGCCUCCGUCCGCAAGUUCGCCGCCGACUUCGCCGCCAGGGGCCUCCCGCUCAACAUCCUCGUCAACAACGCAGGGGUAAUGGCGACCCCUUUCUCCCUCUCAAAGGAUGGCAUAGAGAUGCAGUUCGCAACUAACCAUGUCGGGCAUUUUCUUUUGACACAUCUACUAUUGGAGACAAUGAAAAAGACCUCUCAUGAAUCAAACGUGGAAGGAAGAAUUGUUAACGUUUCGUCAGAAGGGCACAGGUUUGCAUACAAGGAAGGCAUCCGUUUCGCCAAGCUAAAUGACGAGGAAGAGUAUAGCACCAUUGCAGCAUAUGGGCAGUCAAAGCUUGCCAACAUUUUGCACGCUAAUGAACUUGCCAGGAGAUUUAAGGAAGAGGGUGUUAACAUCACUGCGAACUCUCUGCAUCCUGGAUCUAUUAUCACGAACCUUCUUCGCCACCACAGCAUCAUAGAUGUUCUCCACCGGACGCUUGGUAAACUGGUGCUGAAGAACGCCAGACAGGGGGCUGCGACGCAGUGCUACGUGGCGCUGCACCCGGACGCCAAGGGGGUGUCGGGAAAAUACUGGAGCGACAGCAACCUGUAUGAGCCGAGCGACAAGGCCAAGGACGCGGAGCUGGGCAAGAAGCUGUGGGACUACACCCUCGACCUCGUCGCCUGA